rnacentral:misc_RNA from 1 species
CAGAGUUCAUGCCCUCACGGGUAGAUCUCCCACCCUAUGUUAUCGUUACCUUUGUUGCUUUGGCGGGCCGUCAGGCCUCGGUCAGGCUACUGGCUUCAGCUAGUAAGCGCCCGCCAGAGGACCCCAAACUCUGAAUAUUAGUGUCGUCUGAGUACUAUAUAAUAGUUA